UGGGGAAUAUUGGACAAUGGGGGCAACCCUGAUCCAGCAAUGCCGCGUGUGUGAAGAAGGUCUUCGGAUUGUAAAGCACUUUCGACGGGGACGAUGAUGACGGUACCCGUAGAAGAAGCCCCGGCUAACUUCGUGCCAGCAGCCGCGGUAAUACGAAGGGGGCUAGCGUUACUCGGAAUGACUGGGCGUAAAGGGCGUGUAGGCGGUUUACACAGUCAGAUGUGAAAUCCCCGGGCUUAACCUGGGAGCUGCAUUUGAUACGUGUAGACUAGAGUGUGAGAGAGGGUUGUGGAAUUCCCAGUGUAGAGGUGAAAUUCGUAGAUAUUGGGAAGAACACCGGUGGCGAAGGCGGCAACCUGGCUCAUGACUGACGCUGAGGCGCGAAAGCGUGGGGAGCAAACAGGAUUAGAUACCCUGGUAGUCCACGCUGUAAACGAUGUGUGCUAGAUGUUGGGUAACUUUGUUAUUCAGUGUCGCAGUUAACGCGUU
rnacentral:rRNA from 1 species